AGCAGUCGCCGCGGUAAUACGAGGGGUGCAAGCGUUAUUCGGAUUGAUUGGGUGUAAAGGGUGUGCAGACGGCUUAUUAAGUCACUUGUUAAAUUCUUCGGCCUAACUGAAGGUCUGCAAGUGAUACUGAUGAGCUAGAGGGUGGAAGAGAGAAGUGGAAUUCUCGGAGUAGCGGUAAAAUGCGUAGAUCUCGAGAGGAACACCAAUGGCGAAGGCAGCUUCUUGGUCCAUUCCUGACGUUCAUACACGAAAGCGUGGGGAGCAAACAGGAUUAGAUACCCCCGUAGUCCCUGUCUCUUAUAC
rnacentral:rRNA from 1 species